rnacentral:misc_RNA from 1 species
UGCUCAUUUGGAUCAGAUGGCAGUUAGAGGUCUAAGAGAUGCAAAUAAGCACGCAUCUCAUACAUUCAUAAAAAUGAUGGGGAAAAAAUGGGGGGAAAGGGGAGUUUAUUCUGCAUCAAAGCUAGUAGUGAGUGAAACAAACAAUAAACUAUGUUUAUAAGUUAUGCCCUUCAAUCAAACAACACUCUUGAAAAAACACAUUUUCACGUCAACACAGUUUAUAGACACAUAUUCUCACUGUAAUAAUAAAUUAUCGGCAAUCACCUCAUAUUUAGGUCCCUCCAUUAAAUUUAUGUUGCGACAUGAGACUUUUUGUUAACCAAAUUGCUGUUUCUCUCGACGAGACCACUUCUUCCCCAAAUGGCUUUAACACACCAGCAAGCUCAUCAAUUUUGUCCUGUUUAAGUAGCCGUGCACAUAGCUCAAGCAAAGACUCUA